AUAAACCGGAGGAAGGUGGGGAUGACGUCAAGUCAGCAUGGCCUUUAUGUCUGGGGCUACACACGUGCUACAAUGGCCGGUACAAACCGUCGCGAGCCCGCAAGGGGGAGCUAAUCGGAGAAAGCCGGUCUCAGUUCGGAUCGUAGGCUGCAAAGACGCCUGCGUGAAGUUGGAAUCGCUAGUAAUCGCGGAUCAGCACGCCGUGGUGAAUACGUUCCCGGGCCUUGUACACACCGCCCGUCACAUCACGAAAGCCGGUUGUACUAGAAGUCGCCACAUCAACCCGCAAGGGAGAGAGGCGCCUAAGGUAUGGUCGG
rnacentral:rRNA from 1 species